UGAUCGCAGGCAGAAAUGCGUGAGGAAAGUCGGAGCACCACAGAGCAGGGUGCUAGGUAACGCCUAGUGAGAGCAAUCUUAAGGAUAGUGCAACAGAGAGAUACCGCCGUUUUAUACGGUAAGGGUGGAAAGGCGAGGUAAGAGCUCACCAGCGCAUAGGUGACUAUGUGGCUAUGUAAACCCCACCUGGUGCAAGGCCAAGUUAGGAAUUAGGAGUGUAGCUCGCACUCCCCAGAUGGUAGGCCGCUUGAAUCUAUUGGUGACAAUAGGUCUAGAAAGAUGAUCAUCUAAUACAGAACUCCGCUUAUAGCUGUGCUUA
rnacentral:RNase_P_RNA from 1 species